UCGAGUCUUUUAUUGUUUUUACAGUUUUUAACAUAUUGUUUUUCUCUUUAUUCNAUUUGUGUAUUAUUUAUACAGGAAAGAAUACGGAAGCUUAACCUUCCUCACAUGUAUGAUCCUGUUCAAUUAACAAAACAAUCAAGAACUCUUAGUAUCUGCCUUCUAUUUAGUUUCUUUNUUUAGAUUUCAUUUUAUAUUUUUUCCUCACCUAGUUUUUAGUAAAUAAAUAAAUAGGUUUUAAUUUUACAAUUUCUACACUUAACAAGAACCAAGUCCUUGGAUUGAUCCCUAGUCAGCCCUAUAUUACAUUAGUGGAGAUUAGGUUGGUUGACUUUUGUGCAACCAAAAGCCUUUCAACAAAUGGCUCCGUUGCCGGGGACUUUGGCGACUUAAGUUUAGAUUGUAGAGUUAGCCUUGUAGGUUUCUAUUUUUCCUAUUUGCAUUCUGUUUGUUUGGAUAUAGUUUCUGAAAAAAAAAAUUAAUUUGUAAAUAGUGGUUCCUCUCCUUGUUGUUCUUCUGUGUUUGGUAUAAUUUUUUUCUUGAAGUAUAGUCCAGAUUAAGAACAGGUUCUGCAUCUGACUUGGAAGAGAUGGUUGAUUCUCAAGACUGGCUAUACAAGCUGAUCAAGAGGCUGCCUAAGUUCCAUGGCCUGGCACAUGAAGACCCACACAAUCACAUCAAAGAGUUCAGCUGGGUGUGCUCCUCCAUGAAGCCUGUUGGAGUUCCAGACGAAGCAGUGAUGGUGAAGACAUUUCCACUGUCUCUGCAGGGUGCACCAAGAGACUGGUUCUUGUAUCAACAAUACCCUCUUGGUAGCUGCUGGCAGGAGAUGCAGCAGAGGUUCCUCAACAGAUACUUUCCAGCAGCUAAAGGAACCAACCUCAGGAGGGAGAUCACAGCCAUUGGACAAUUUCAAGAGGAAGGUCUGGCUGAGUAUUUGGAGAAGGUUCCAAAUGAUUUGUACAACUUGCCCCAACCACCAGAUUUCAGAGCCCAGACUUCUAGUCUACUUUUAUGAGGGCCUACUCUACAAAGACAAGGUGUUGGUUGAUGCAGCAGUUGGAGGCUCUCUGCUGGACAAGANCCCAACUGAGGCAAGAAAAUUGUUGUGCAAGCUAGUUGGAAAUGAUCCUGAUGAUGCAAAUGGUGAAUCAAGAAAACAGGUUUUCUCUGAACUGAAUAUUCCAAUUAAUAUUGAUGAGGUUCAACAUCAUAUUAAUGCUUUUGAUCUGUUUAAAGUUGAACCCAUAAAACCUGUUUUGGAUCUUAUUCCUGUUAUGCAUUUUCAUAGUCUUGAUUCAGCAUUUGACAUAGAACACAUUGAUAUAUCUAUUGUUGUCUCAGAUUUAUGGACUGACUUUGACACUGUUUCAAUUGAUGAUAGUCUUUCAGCAUGUGUUGAUUCAACUGAGUUUGUGUAUACUGGUGAGAUUGUUUUAGAUGAACCAGUCCAGGUUACCUCUGAACCUACUUUUUCUACUUGUACAGUUGGGUUGCACACUGUUUCUAAUGUUUUGCAUGCUUUGUCUGUGGUGCCUGAUAUAUCUCUUAAUUUUGAAUUGCUGGAUGAGAUUUCUGUUGUGCACCAUAUAAAGACACCUACUGAUGGGUGUUCUAAUUUGAAUGCAAUGUGUUNUGAUGAGUUGUUUGAAGAUUUGAUGGGUGAUUCUGAUAUAACUGCCCUGGAAAACACAGAAUCAGCAGCAAUCGCAUGAGGAGCCAUGGCUGCUGCAACACGGAGCUUGGAAAAUGCAGACGCAGCUGUCAACUUUUGAUGGAGAGCUGAUGAGGCUAAGGCAGAGAACACAUGGAGCAAAACCAAAAACAAUAAGCCCUUUCUCUACCUUUCUUUUCUAUUAUAGUGAUAAAUUUUUGUUAUUAGCUUGUUUAGUCUUAGACAGUAUAGUAAAUAGUAGAAUAGAAAAUAUGCUCUUUUAUAUAAAAAUUAAAAAGAUUAAUUUUGAUUUGUGGUCAAUUUGAAAGAGUUCUUUUUAGUUUUGUAGUUUUAGUUUUUUUUUUUGUGUUUUUCCUAAUUUUGUUAUGUACAUG
rnacentral:lncRNA from 1 species